UACAGAGGGGGCAAGCGUUGUUCGGAAUUACUGGGCGUAAAGGGCGCGUAGGCGGCCUUCUAAGUCAGACGUGAAAUCCCUCGGCUCAACCGGGGAACUGCGUCUGAGACUGGAAGGCUUGAAUCCGGGAGAGGGAUGUGGAAUUCCAGGUGUGGCGGUGAAAUGCGUAGAUAUCUGGAGGAACACCGGUGGCGAAGGCGGCAUCCUGGACCGGUAUUGACGCUGAGGCGCGAAAGCCAGGGGAGCAAACGGG
rnacentral:rRNA from 1 species